GACGAACGCUGGCGGCGUGCUUAACACAUGCAAGUCGAACGGAAAGGCCCUGCUUUUGUGGGGUGCUCGAGUGGCGAACGGGUGAGUAACACGUGAGUAACCUGCCCUUGACUUUGGGAUAACUUCAGGAAACUGGGGCUAAUACCGGAUAGGAGCUCCUGCUGCAUGGUGGGGGUUGGAAAGUUUCGGCGGUUGGGGAUGGACUCGCGGCUUAUCAGCUUGUUGGUGGGGUAGUGGCUUACCAAGGCUUUGACGGGUAGCCGGCCUGAGAGGGUGACCGGCCACAUUGGGACUGAGAUACGGCCCAGACUCCUACGGGAGGCAGCAGUGGGGAAUAUUGCACAAUGGGCGGAAGCCUGAUGCAGCAACGCCGCGUGCGGGAUGACGGCCUUCGGGUUGUAAACCGCUUUCGCCUGUGACGAAGCGUGAGUGACGGUAAUGGGUAAAGAAGCACCGGCUAACUACGUGCCAGCAGCCGCGGUGAUACGUAGGGUGCGAGCGUUGUCCGGAUUUAUUGGGCGUAAAGGGCUCGUAGGUGGUUGAUCGCGUCGGAAGUGUAAUCUUGGGGCUUAACCCUGAGCGUGCUUUCGAUACGGGUUGACUUGAGGAUUUUAGGGGAGAAUGGAAUUCCUGGUGGAGCGGUGGAAUGCGCAGAUAUCAGGAGGAACACCAGUGGCGAAGGCGGUUCUCUGGGCCUUUCCUGACGCUGAGGAGCGAAAGCGUGGGGAGCGAACAGGCUUAGAUACCCUGGUAGUCCACGCUGUAAACGGUGGGUACUAGGUGUGGGGUCCAUUCCACGGGUUCCGUGCCGUAGCUAACGCUUUAAGUACCCCGCCUGGGGAGUACGGCCGCAAGGCUAAAACUCAAAGGAAUUGACGGGGCCCCGCACAAGCGGCGGAGCAUGCGGAUUAAUUCGAUGCAACGCGUAGAACCUUACCUGGGUUUGACAUGGAUCGGGAGUGCUCAGAGAUGGGUGUGCCUCUUUUGGGGUCGGUUCACAGGUGGUGCAUGGCUGUCGUCAGCUCGUGUCGUGAGAUGUUGGGUUAAGUCCCGCAACGAGCGCAACCCUUGUUCACUGUUGCCAGCACGUUAUGGUGGGGACUCAGUGGAGACCGCCGGGGUCAACUCGGAGGAAGGUGGAGAUGACGUCAAGUCAUCAUGCCCCUUAUGUCCAGGGCUUCACGCAUGCUACAAUGGCUGGUACAGAGAGUGGCGAGCCUGUGAGGGUGAGCGAAUCUCGGAAAGCCGGUCUCAGUUCGGAUUGGGGUCUGCAACUCGACCUCAUGAAGUCGGAGUCGCUAGUAAUCGCAGAUCAGCAACGCUGCGGUGAAUACGUUCCCGGG
rnacentral:rRNA from 1 species